AAGGCUAGCACUCCCCUUGAGAAGGCUGGAAGAGGUGCUGGUGGCCUUGCCAACACACGCACGGUUAAGGCAUUGCCGCCUUCUUCGUGGCAUCUAACCAAGUUUUUUA
rnacentral:ncRNA from 1 species